GUCAACAUGCAUAUGCUUCUCCUGUUGCUGCUGCUCUCUGGGGCGUGCUGUGAUCUCACUUUCUUCCCCCCUCCAGCUCCGUGAACAACUCUCCCUUAAUGGAUCUGACAGUUACCUGCCGUUUGGACUCAGGCAUACCAAUGCAUGGAGUAAAGACGAGUUAACAGUUUUGUCCUGACUGAACAUCAGCUUCGGAAAUGUAUCUGGAAAGUUCUGAGCAAGGUAAAGUCUCUGGAGAAGGAGAGCUGUCUGCUGAAGCCAUCCUUGCUGAACAAUGUGUGAUUCCCAAACCAACAGAGGCUACUGUUUUCAGUGGUCCUUCAAAGGACCGCACUGACUUGGGCAUUAAGGUCCUAAUGGCAUACACCGACCAGAUUUUCAACGGAGAAAUGGACCGUCCUCUCAUUUGUGAGAAAAAUGGCAAUUUAAUCACAGCAGAAGUUGACUCUGGCAUGUACUGUAACAGACAAUCUGAGAACUUCAUACAGCAUCCAGCAAGCAAUGGGUGUUUUGAAUCUGGACAGACUCUCAAUGAGAGGCCUGUGGAGCUAUGCCAGCCAUUUCACAAACGUGCUCAACACUGUGAGUCCUCUGAUAACUGUGCUAAUCAUAGUUUAGCCUCUGAAUGCAGCCUUUGCUGUCCAGAUCACCUCCAGUUAUUCCAGCAAUGUGACCCUGAUAAUCAACAGACUUCUGUUGGUGAGUCGGAUGAACUGGAAGAGAGUUGUGAAAACUUUAAUUUCGGAAAGUCCAGUGUAACUCCUGAAUGCACAGAUGACUUGGAGUUGCUACAAUACGAGCCCUUAGAUCAGCAGGGUGACUCCUAUGAGCAAGACACAUCAACAGAGGAUUUAGAAGAGGGCUAUGGACUGAGCUCUGACUCACUGGAGUCAUUGGACAUGGGCAAUGUGUUGUGGGAUUGUGAAAAAUCUCAGGCUGAAGUUGAAUAUAAAAAUAACGAUGGGGACGAAGAUAACGAGAGCUGUGAAUCAGAACAAAAUGAAGAGAAAAACAGCAAUGAAGACUUUUACAAACUACCUGAGGACACCUCCAUCCAGGAUUUUGAUGAUUUUGCCACCUUUGUGAGAGACUUUUCUGAGACAUGCAUGUACUCAGAAGAAAGCUACCAACCAGGUUCCACAACAGAAAUGCUGAGCAAGAGUGGAGAUGAUCUAAACCCAAUUGAUCAGAGUGACUGUGAGAGCAACAGUGAAAUCUGCGCCGAUGAAGAGGAUUGCUUCCAGGACAGUGCUCUUUCAUCUGACUCUAUCUGGGAUUCAUCUGAGGCAUCUGGUAAAGGAGCUAAGGAAGUUUCUAGCAAGGAGCAGGAUGAAGAAAACCUGCAAAUCAACACCAAAGAAACCAACGGGGAAAAAAAUAACCCAACCUGUGCCAAUGUCAUCACUGAAUUCUUUUUUGACUUGUUCGACAGAGCAGACUCUUACGGACACAUGUUCGCGCAAAAGCAUCACUACAUCUCGUGCUUCGAAGGGGGGGACAUUCACCACCGUUUGCAUCUUGAAGAAGACUCUCAAAGAUGUGAAGUCAAAGCUGCAUGUGUCGAUGAUCCAGACAAUGAAAGUAAAACUGAAUUAGAUGAUGGAGUUGAUGAAGUUAAUCCUAGAGGUCAAGAAAAAUUGGAAUUAAGUGAUUCGGAGAAUCAGUUUGAUGACUGGAAUGAAAAAACAGAUUUAGCAGAAGAAGUUGAGGAAAAUGAAGAUGAAACCUUCGCAACUAACUCAGAGAACACUGAGGAUGAAGAGGAGAAUGACAUCUUGGAUAAAGAUGAAGCUAGCAAGUUUGAUGAAUGUGCGUCAGACCUAUAUGAUGAUGAACCUGAGGUCUGUCUGGACCACGAAGAGAAAAUGUUUGCACCAUGUGCCAAAGAAAUCUCCAUAGAAGGAGAAGUUUACAAGGUCUCAGAGAGUCUAAAUCACAAGUCCUACGUUGAGGCUUCCUUCAUCACAGAUAAAACGGAGACAAGUCCUGAUCAGAAGGAUAGCGAUAAACCAGAGCUUGACGAUAGUUUUUAUCCAACAUGUUCAGAAAUGGAGCCAUACUGGGCGUUACUGGAUGAUGAGGAAAUUUGCGAGCCAGACGUGGAGGAAUACUUUGCAUAUCAGAUCAAAAGUUUGCAGACAUCUGGGAAACAAACUCUCUAUGGAUUUAUUUUAGAGACCAAGGGUGAAAAAAAUAGCACUUCUUAUGAUAAGACUGAUGAGGUAUUUUUAUCUUUAAGAAAAACGGAAUCUCGUGAUUCAUUGAUCUCAGAUGAGCACGGAUCAGACCGAUUUGAAAUUAGUGAUGUACUGGAGUGGAGCUCCUGCCUUGAAGAAGAAUCCCCUCAAGAAUCAGAUGAUGAGUGUGAGCUGAGUGACAUUUCUGGGGAAAUAAACCCCCCGCUCGAUAUUAUUCACAGCGUUGUCCUAAAGCAUGCUUAUGAGUCCACACAAAGCAUGGAUACAGAAGAGGAGCAGAGUGAUGAUGACUCCUAUGACAACUGUGAAUGCGAACACUGCAUUCCCUCAACACAACAGGUUGAAGCCAAACCGCUCCUUCCGCAAAUGGAAUCAAGUGAUGCAGGGAAGAUCUGUGUGGUCAUUGAUCUCGAUGAAACUCUGGUACACAGCUCAUUCAAGCCGAUGAAUAAUCCAGAUUUUAUCAUUCCAGUGGAAAUAGAAGGAAAACUACAUCAGCUGAGAAAACAGAUAGAAGCUGAGAGCAUCUUGUGUUGGACAGUUUUUAGAGCGACAACAGUGAUGACCAACUCCUUGAGGUGUAUGUCCUUAAGAGGCCACAUGUCGAUGAGUUCCUCAAGAGGAUGGGAGAACUGUUUGAGUGCAUUCUGUUCACUGCAAGCUUAUCUAAGUAUGCAGACCCUGUGUCAGACAUGCUGGAUAAAUGUGGAACCUUCAAGAAUCGUCUCUUCCGAGAAGCAUGCGUCUUUCAUAAAGGGAACUAUGUGAAAGACCUGAGCCGUUUGGGACGGGACCUAAACAGGGUUAUCAUCAUAGACAACUCCCCAGCUUCCUACAUAUUCCACCCUGAAAACGCGGUUCCUGUCGAGUCCUGGUUUGAUGACAUGUCAGACACUGAGCUCCUGGAUCUCAUCCCCUUCUUUGAGAAGCUUAGCAAAGAAGGGGGCAUCUAUGAUAUUUUGAGGGAGCAGAGGAUUUCCAGUUAACAGACGGAGAACACUUGGAGGAAGAAGAUCCCCAUUUAAAGACAUCACAGGGCCAUGGAGGCUGUAGAGCCACAGGCUCCAUAGUGCUUCCCAUUACAAGGACCACAUUAAAAAUAACAAUAGAAAAGAAAUGUGUGAGAUCAUGUUUUUAGAUACAUUUUUUAAUUGUUUGGAAUGCAAGAUCUGUACUUUAACAUGAAGCUAAAGAGCAAGUGUGGAAUUGUUUUGCCGUAAUAGCAUAGUGAUAUAGCAAGUAUGGUGAUGUUGCAGUUGUCGUAACAAUGGGAAAAGUCUACUGCAAAGCUAGCUUUGAAUAGGAUAUUUGUAUAGCUACACUACUUUAGGUCUUUAAAACCCUUGUGCUAUCUUAGAAGACCCCACCCUUAUUUUGACAUGUUCUCCCUACCAUGACAAAGGUGGAUAAAAGUGGAAAGAUUUCAUGUAAUCCAUGGACACCAGUGAAGAUCACAAAUCAUUGAAGAAAAAAGGUUUAGCGCACUGUCUAGUGGGUCUAGAUGACCCAACUCGCAAUGUUAAAAUGCCUGGGAUAGCACAAGGGUUACAAGCAAACAAGCACAUGCAAAAACAAAACUGUCACUCUGGAGACCUAAUAAUCUAUCUAAAUGUGGAAUUUUGCUAAAUCUGGCAACAUGGUUUUACUACAUGUUUUUUAAAAAUCAAAUCUAGUUUGUAAACCGCAUCAAAAAAUGUUACAAAUUGUUAAACAAAUUUUUUUUCCCUGUUAGAUCAACAACAAAAUGUUAAGCAUGGUUGCCUGUGGUUAUGUAGCGCUUUCGAAAUAAGAGCGACACAAAAUGUUUCUGGCGUGACUGGAUUUUUCACAUGCAAAUGUGUCUCUGCGGAAAAGCGGAAGCUUGUAUUUCUAUGUACAUAUCCAACUAUUUAGUUGUUGUUCUGAAUUAUUUCUUUUUGUUUUGGACUGUCGGAAUCAUUUCAUGCUUUUACUUGUUGGUUGUAUUGCCAACCCAGUAUGGAGUAACAAUGCUUCCUGAGCUCAGACGGAGGCUGUGAGGUUUCGAGUCUUGACUUAAUGUCUUUAGUUUGUAGCCGAUAUUCUUUAGUUACAGUUUAUGGACAUAUUAAGUGUGAACAAAUGACUUGUUAAAAAAAUAAAUAAAAGAAUGUUGCAUUUUC